UGGGGAAUAUUGGACAAUGGGGGGAACCCUGAUCCAGCCAUGCCGCGUGUGUGAAGAAGGCCUUAUGGUUGUAAAGCACUUUAAGCGAGGAGGAGGGUACUGGUAUUAAUACUACCAGGUACUGGACGUUACUCGGAGAAUAAGCACCGGCUAACUCUGUGCCAGCAGCCGCGGUAAUACAGAGGGUGCGAGCGUUAAUCGGAUUUACUGGGCGUAAAGCGUGCGUAGGCGGCUAAUUGAGUCGGAUGUGAAAUCCCCGAGCUUAACUUGGGAAUUGCAUUCGAUACUGGUUAGCUAGAGUGUGGGAGAGGAUGGUAGAAUUCCAGGUGUAGCGGUGAAAUGCGUAGAGAUCUGGAGGAAUACCGAUGGCGAAGGCAGCCAUCUGGCCUAACACUGACGCUGAGGUACGAAAGCAUGGGGAGCAAACAGG
rnacentral:rRNA from 1 species